GGUUCAGCCGGCUGUGGACUAGGGCUCGGAGGGGCUGGAGCCUUGUGGAGCCAAUACUGGACCCUGCUGUGGGCAGCCUGUGCUCAGAGUCUGGACCUAAAUCUGGGACCCUGGAGGGACCCCAGGGCAACAGCGCAACAGCUGAGUCAGGCACUGGGUCAGGGUGAGUGAUGGGCUUGGGUGGGCGUUUGGGAAGGCUGGGGUCUCUUCCUUCCCCUUGGCCAACUCACUGACCUGCCAUCCUGAAGGCAAAAGCAGGCCCUUUAGAAAGAACACCCUUGGGUUCAGACUAUAGCUUCUGAGCUUUCAAGGCAAAGUCUUGCUUUCCACCCCAGUCCCGAGUCUUGGAGGAAGCAUGCCUUCUUGCCUCAUCAUUGAGUGGGCAGGGGUUGUGGAAAGUGAGACCUUGUUUUCAGGCCCCAGAGUCAUUUCUCCCACUAGCAUCCCUGCCUCAGGAGUGUGAGAAGGAGCUGGCAUCUUUGUGUCACAGACUACUUCAUCAGUCGCUUAUCUGGAGCUGGGACCAAGGUGAGAAGGAAGGGGCACUGGGGGUGACAUAAGUCCCAGGUUACCGCUUCCCCACCACACUAUACUCUCUCAUCCUCAGGUUUCUGCCAGGCCUUGGGAUCAGCUCUUGGGGGUCAGGGCAGCCUUCCCACAUCCUCUGGCACUGCUGAACUUUUGCAGCAGCUCUUUCCUCCUCUCUUGGAUGCCCUUCGAGAGC
rnacentral:sRNA from 1 species